CCUACGGGUGGCAGCAGUGGGGAAUAUUGGGCAAUGGGCGCAAGCCUGACCCAGCAACGCCGCGUGCAGGAAGAAGGCCCUCGGGUUUUUAACUUCUUUUUUUAAGGGCGAAACAAAUGUCGGUACUCGGUGAAUAAGCCUCGGCUAACUACGUGCCAGCAGCCGCGGUAAUACGUAGGUGGCAAUCGUUAUCCGGAUGGACUGGGUGUAAAGGGCGUGUAGGCGGGACGGCAAGUCAGAUGUGAAAACCAUGGGCUCAACCCAUGGCCUGCAGUUGAAACUGUCGUUCUUGAGUGUUUGUGAGGCAGGCGGAAUUCCGUGUGUAGCGGUGAAAUGCGUAGAUAUACGGAGGAACACCAGUGGCGAAGGCGACCUGCUGGACCGUAACUGACGCUGAGGCGCGAAAGCGUGGGGAGCAAACAGGAUUAGAUACCCGUGUAGUC
rnacentral:rRNA from 1 species